AUUCGAUCACUUCCGAUAAUCCCAGUGUUGAAUUAACUCAGCAAGUCAAUUAAGUCCAACAGGAUUAGGAAUUAAUUCUAAAAGGGUCACGGGAAACCUGGAGCCUAUCGCAGGGAGCAUCGGGCACAAGGCGGGGUACACCCUGGACAGGGUGCCAAUCCAUCGCAGGGCAAACCCUACAACAGUGUUUACUUAUCAGAAAGGGUUCCAAGUAGAACCAUUUUAGUGGGCUAGGAAGUCUUAAUUAUCAAAUGCACCCAUAAAGAACCCUUGAAGAGCCAUUGUGUCCAAAGAGUGCAAUGUUGGAAGCAAUUUCAUCAGUUUAACCCACUGAUGUCCGUGGAAGACGCCACCUCUAAAUAAUCGUUUCGUGUUUCAUCGAUACAGGUUCCUUACACCUUCUGGAGGAACCUCAUUGCACCUUAACCGAUGGCGACUGAAGAAAGCAACAGUGCAGAGUUCCAAGAGAAAACCGGCUUGAAGAGAAAACUAACAGGACCACCACGACUUCUACUGGGCAAAUCCAGGUCUCCAGGUCAAGAUGAGAAGAAAUCAAGAAAGCAUAGACGACACAACGACACGCCGCUGGACACGGCAGAAACCGAGCAAAGCGCUGAACUGCACGAGCUGACGAGUCCUGAAAGUCCUCAAACUGUCCUGACUUCAGAUCUUGAUGGAGGAACACGCACGGAUCUCCGGGACGAGUGUUCGGAAACAGCUUCAAAGUUGCAGCAGAACGUGAAGAAAAUUCGGAGAAGGAGCAAAGCUGGAGCGACCAUUAGACGGAUUUUCUCCUGUGUUAGGAGGAGAAAGGAUCUGGGAAUGAAAACUGUGGAGGAUGCUGAGGAAAACACGCAGCGCAGAGAACACCACAGCAUCCACGACGAGGAACUUCUGACCCAUUCAGGUGAUUCCUUGAAAGUGAAGCGUGAACAAGAGCCGGUGAAGAAGUUCAAGGUGCGAAUGUUGCGCAUCUUCAAAAAACGUUCAUCCAAAGGCAAGCAGGAACUUGAAGAACAUGGAGAAGAACGAUGUAAUGAUAUUUUCACUGAAAUAUCUUCAGAAACAACUGAUCGGCGUACAGCUGGUGCUGCAGAGCCGCCAGCUGUGGACGAACAGCAGAAUGGAUCAAGUGGGAUUGACGAGGAUGCAACCAGAAUCCAUGAGGAAACCUGCUUGGAAUCACAAGAUCCCAAAAGCGAGGUUCUGGAAGCGAUUUCCUUGAAUGUAGAGGUGAACGUUAACUCGAAUGCCGUGUUCGUUCAUGAAAACCACCAACAUCCACCCGAAUCUCACUUCCCAAGUCCUGUAGAUGAACAGGAGCCCAAGAUACAGACUAGCGAGGCUCUGCUAACAGGGCUUGCGGAGUCUAAUUCCGAUCCGGAAGAUCCCUGGAUGUCUCCAGAAGAUCCGGUUACAGAUGGCCCGGUAGUCGAUGCUCCAGUUGAAAAUGCGAGUGUUUUUAAAUGCAAACCCGUCAUCACGAUAGAAGACGUUCACUCGUCAGACGAAGAAAACCACGACUCGUUUGAAAACCCAGCUCCGCGAUACGGCACGCUGUCGCCGCUCGUCGCCCUUAACGGAUCCUGUUACACGUUAAAGACUCCGGACAGUCGGUUUUCCGAGAUCCUGCUCGCUCAGACGGCGCUGUCUUUGGUCCGCGCAGCUAUUAGCGGUGCCGUUGAAGAGCUUUCAGCCGAGCUGAGGAGCCGUCAGAUGGAUCGGGAUCAUGUCUAAUACUCUCACACACACACACACUAAUUCUUACAAAUUUCAGCCAAGAAUCAUGUUCCGUGCUGGUUCCACUGGGGCAGGACUCAGAUCUUCGGAGGAACAUCAGUGUGCUUUAUUUACUCCUCGCUGUUAGAUGAGUUAGCGUGGUAUAGUUUGCGUGCAUGGUUGCGCUGAGAGUAACAGAUACGUAUCAUGUAUUGAUUGACCUGUAAGUGUUCAGUGUUAUCUUGAUAUCAUAAAGAUCCUGAAUGCACUGGAGACUGGAAAAGUCUUCUAUUUAUGUCUAUGGCAGACAUGCAGAAAUAUUUGCAUUGGCAAGAUUGGACUAAUAUAUAUAUAUAUAGUAAAAAGAAAUAAACAUGUAACUAGUUUAAUUCCAUGACUUCUCCUGCAGUUGUACGGUAUUUUUAGCCUGAAUGUGACAUUAUCUCUCGUAUCACUGCAGCGUAAGCCUCGUUUCUAUAGCAAUGGAGAACCCACGUUUUCCACGUUCCUGCUACACAACAUGUUGUGUGGUCUUGAUUUUUUUUUUCUUCUCCCCACACCAGUCUUGUGGAAAUAAAAUGCCACCAUGAAGUCUCGAUCUGCUUUGUGUCACGAUGGAAAAGGAGAUCUUUGAAGAUAUUGUUUUAAAUAAAUGGAAAUGUAUGGUGAGAGCAGGCAGGGAAAGAAGCCAUUUAUCCUCCUGUGGAUUAUGUCUGUAUGUAAAUGUAAACCAUGCAGGCAAAUGCGUUACGCUCCGGAGCGCCUGCUCAAGGUCGGCCUCAACGUUCGCUCGGGACCGCGGGAGAUUUGGUUUCCGUCACAUGUAAUCGGUGAAGUCAGAAGAGCUCUUUGAGCAGCGGUGAUUAUCGGUGAAUCUGAGUGGAAAAGUUUCCAUUUUUCAAGCAAACUCUUCCCUCUAGUGGUAAAGCAGGAUGAAGAUACAACCUCAAACAAACAAACAAACAAACAAACAAACAAUCUAACUAACCAACACCCUUAAAAAGUCCCGUUUCUGUGGAAAUGCUCUUUCUUUCUGAGAAGAUCCCAAAAACAGCAGUGCCUAAUUUUACUCUGUUUAUUUUCAUUUAAAUAAACCACUGUGGAGCAAAACCCUCGCUAUCUCACACACACACACACACACACACACACACACACACACACAAGAUAAGAUGAUGAAAUCAGUAGAUUAAACAGUAUUGUUUUGUACAUCACAGUGCAAAAGUCUUAAGCACACGUAAAGAAAUGCUGUAAAUUAAAGAUGACUUCAAACAUGAUGAAAUGAAAUCUUUCUACUUGAGAGAAAUACAGGUGAUGAUGAA
ensembl:lncRNA